GAACUGCGAUAAGUAAUGUGAAUUGCAGAAUUCAGUGAAUCAUCGAGUCUUUGAACGCACAUUGCGCCCCCUGGCAUUCCGGGGGGCAUGCCUGUCCGAGCGUCAUUGCUGCCCUUCAAGCCCGGCUUGUGUGUUGGGUCGUCGUCCCCCCCGGGGGACGGACCCGAAAGGCAGCGGCGGCACCGUGUCCGGUCCUCGAGCGUAUGGGGCUUUGUCACCCGCUCGAUUAGGACCGGCCGGGCGCCCGCCGGCGUCAAACCCCAAUCUUUCUAAGGUUGACCUCGGAUCAGGUAGGGAUACCCGCUGAACUUCAGC
rnacentral:misc_RNA from 1 species